rnacentral:rRNA from 1 species
ACGAACGCUGGCGGCUUGCUUAACACCUGCAAGUCGAACGGAAAGGCCCUGCUUGCAGGGUACUCGAGUGGCGAACGGGUGAGUAACACGUGGGUGAUCUGCCCUGCACUUCGGGAUAAGCCUGGGAAACUGGGUCUAAUACCGGAUAUGACCUUCCAUGUAGUGUGGGGGGUGGAAAGAUUUAUCGGUGUGGGAUGAGCCCGCGGCCUAUCAGCUUGUUGGUGGGGUAAUGGCCUACCAAGGCGUCGACGGGUAGCCGGCCUGAGAGGGUGGACGGCCACAUUGGGACUGAGAUACGGCCCAGACUCCUACGGGAGGCAGCAGUGGGGAAUAUUGCACAAUGGGCGGAAGCCUUAUGCAGCGACGCCGCGUGGGGGAUGACGGCCUUCGGGUUGUAAACCUCUUUCGACAGGGACGAAGCUUCGGUGACGGUACCUGUAUAAGAAGCACCGGCUAACUACGUG